UCGAGAAUUUUUCACAAUGGGCGAAAGCCUGAUGGAGCGACGCCGCGUGGGGGAUGAAGGGCUUCGGCCCGUAAACCCCUGUCAUUUGCGAACAAACCUUGUUUGUUAACACCAGACAAGCUGAUUGUAGCGAAAGAGGAAGGGACGGCUAACUCUGUGCCAGCAGCCGCGGUAAUACAGAGGUCCCAAGCGUUGUUCGGAUUCACUGGGCGUAAAGGGUGCGUAGGUGGCUGGGUAAGUCUGAUGUGAAAUCUCCGAGCUUAACUCGGAAACUGCAUUGGAUACUGCUCGGCUUGAGGGUUGGAGGGAGGACUGGAAUACUUGGUGUAGCAGUGAAAUGCGUAGAUAUCAAGUGGAACACCAGUGGCGAAGGCGAGUCCUUGGACAACUCCUGACACUGAGGCACGAAAGCUAGGGGAGCAAACAGGAUUAGAUACCCCGGUAGUCC
rnacentral:rRNA from 1 species